rnacentral:rRNA from 1 species
CGAUAGUGAACUAGUACCGUGAGGGAAAGGCGAAAAGAACCCCGGUGAGGGGAGUGAAAUAGAUCCUGAAACCGCGUACGUACAAGCAGUAGGAGCCUCUUUUAUGGGGUGACUGCGUACCUUUUGUAUAAUGGGUCAGCGAGUUAUUGUCAGUAGCAAGGUUAACCGUUUAGGGGAGCCGUAGGGAAACCGAGUCUUAAUAGGGCGUUUUAGUUGCUGGUAAUAGACCCGAAACCGGGCGAUCUAGCCAUGGCCAGGUUGAAGGUGCCGUAACAGGCACUGGAGGACCGAACCCACCUAUGUUGAAAAAUGGGGGGAUGAGCUGUGGCUCGGAGUGAAAGGCUAAUCAAGCCCGGAGAUAGCUGGUUCUCCUCGAAAACUAUUUAGGUAGUGCCUCGCGUUUGACUGCUGGGGGUAGAGCACUGUGUCGGCUAGGGGGUCAUCCCGACUUACCAACCCGAUGCAAACUCCGAAUACCAGUAAGUAUUAUCGCGGGAGACAGACAGCGGGUGCUAACGUCCGUUGUCGAGAGGGCAACAACCCAGACCACCAGCUAAGGUCCCUAAUAUCAGUUAAGUGGGAAACGAUGUGGGAAGGCUAAGACAGCUAGGAGGUUGGCUUAGAAGCAGCCACCCUUUAAAGAAAGCGUAAUAGCUCACUAGUCGAGUCGGCCUGCGCGGAAGAUAUAACGGGGCUAAGUAUUGUGCCGAAGCUGCGGAUGCAAUUUAUUGCAUGGUAGAGGAGCGUUCUGUAAGCCGUUGAAGGUGAAUCGUAAGGUUUGCUGGAGGUAUCAGAAGUGCGAAUGCUGACGUGAGUAACGAUAAUGCGGGUGAAAAACCCGCACGCCGAAAACCCAAGGUUUCCUGCGCAACGCUAAUCGGCGCAGGGUGAGUCGG